rnacentral:lncRNA from 1 species
GGUUUUAAAAAUCUAUUAUAUUUAAAAAUCUGGAGUUCCUGUCAUGGCUCAGGUGUUCCCGUCGUGCCUCAGUGGAAUCGAAUCUGACUAGCAUCCAUGAGGAUGCAGGUUCGAUCCCUGGCCAUGCUCAGUGGGUUAAGAAUCCAGUGCUGCUGUGAGCUGUGAUAUAGGUUGCAGAUACAGCUUGGAUCUGGCGUUACUGUGGCUGUGGUGUAGGCCAACAGCUGCAGCUCUGAUUCAACCCCUAGCCCGGGAACCUCCAUAUGCCAUGGGUGCAGCCCUUAAAAAAAAAAAAGAAAAAAAAAGACCAAAAAAAAUCUACUCUUCUUCCAACUACCAGUUUCAACCCCCAAAGUAGGGCACGACACAGUAGCUGCAUAGAUAUUUAGGUAUGGUGGCAAAUCAGCUGGAGCAAGAAGCAGGAUUUGGAAAUGCCCACACAUUCCAAGACCCAGGUGGCUCCAAUAUAUUGGACUGAAAAGGUCAUCUGGGCUAGUGACCGAGGCACAGAAGGAAUUGUUUCUGGAUCCAUCUCAGAAUUACCGGCUCACAAGGACAGCACGAGGCCAUGACGUCAGAAGAACUGUAAUGCAAUUCCAUUCUCCUGGCAACUGUCCCACAUCAGUCUCCCUCUUACCUGCUUGUCUCCAAGGCGAAGUCUCACGGGAAGUGGUUUCACCCACGGGACACGUGGUUUUCUAUACCCCGUGGCUCAGACUCAGGUUUCCCUAGAGACGGGGUGGAUCAAUUGGAUGUACUUGGAGCUCCGUAGUUUUUUAAUAGGCAGUCGCUGGGCCCUCCCUUCCUGCGCCUUGGGGCUUCAUCUUCACUAGACAAAGGAAACCUGGCCCCCCCAAUCAGAGUAGAAUUAAGUAUUCCAUCCCCUUCCUAUUUCUCCCGGGUGAUCCUUGACAUCUCAGGAGGUGUCUAAUGGAGACUUCCUAAAUUCAGUUCCGCUGAGUAUUUAUGCCACAGGAGCCAGGACCAUUAUUGGUGCUGAGAAUGUUCCCUGACAGAAACACAGCCGCUCCUCUGUCAGAGUCCAGUGGAAGCCAGGCUCAGCGCCACUCAGCGUUUUCAUUAGCUCCGGCGGCUGAGCGGAGGCUGACAGGACGGCCGGCGGGGGACGUUCUUGAGUGUAACAUAAUAGAAAAAGUACAGGCUGUGGGGUCAGACAGAUCUGGGUUCAAAAACAGCGUCCGACCAUCACUAGAUGCUUGACCACGAACUUAAUCUCAUUUAGAGUCCGUUUCUUCGAUUCUAAAAGAAAUAGUGUUUAUUUAUUUAUUUUUUUUCUGGCUUUAAGGUAAACAAUUUAUUUCUUUUUGCCACGUAGUGAUAAAACUUCAUAUAGACUUGUACUCACUGGAAAACUUUCCAGUAUUUUCUCCAUUAUUAGCAGGUACUUAGAUGAUAUUAAUUCACAGUAAUUUAACCAACAGAGGAGAGUUAAGAAAUUAUCUGGCUUUUCCAUUUUUUUUUUUUAUUUUAUUUUCCCACUGUACAGCAAGGGGGUCAGGUUAUCCUUAGAUGUAUACAUUGCAAUUACCGUUUUUUCCCCACCCUUUGUUCUGUUGCAAUAUGAGUAUCUAGACAAAGUUCUCAAUGCUAUUCAGCAGGAUCUCCUUGUAAAUCUAUUCUAAGUUGUGUCUGAUAAGCCCAAACUCCCGAUCCCUCCCACUCCCUCCCCCUCCCAUCAGGCAACCACAAGUCUCUUCUCCAAGUCCAUGAGUUUCUUUUCUGAGGAGAAGUGUUUAUUUUUAUAGAGAUGCUGUAGGUGAAACAUAAAACGAGCAAAGUCCCUAGCGCAGUGACUGACCCAAAGCAACGAUAAUUAUGAUGACACUUAAGUAGUGCUUCUUAUGUACCCGGCGCUGUUGCAUGUGUUAGGUCUAUGUCACAACAACCCCAUGAGACAGGUCCUGGUGAUAUUACCGAGUUAUAAACAUGGAGCCAAAGCACAGAGACAUCAAGUAACCGGCCUCAAAUGGCAGAGCGAGGAGAGUGACCCAGGCAGCCUGGCUGCAGGGGCCAAGAACCUGGGUUCUUGCUCCUAAAGUGCAAGAACAAGGCAUGUUUUACUUGCUUAAAGAAACUCCUCUUUUUCCCCCUUUCUUACAAUUCUUAACAGCAUAGUUAAUCUUUCUGGGUAGAGAGAGAGAAAUUAAGGAGACACCUGUAUGUCUCCCUUCCUGGAUCUUGUUUUCACCUCUUCCGUGAAAAGUUUGAGAGGCUAGGACUGCUUUGGUAAGCUCCCAUUUCAUCCACAAGCACACACUGAGCGCCUGUGGCAUGCCAAGCACUGGCCUGGGCGCUAGGGGAACAGGGGUGAGCCUCUCCCCUCCUUAUCCCCCCCCCCACCGCCCCCUGCUGGGACUCAGGGUCCACGUGGACGCGCUGAGGCGCAAAGACCAAAGGAUGAGCUUUGGACCAUGGGAUGGCUCACCCAGCCCUGCCUCCUCAUCGGCUUCCAAAGAGGCUUGUGUGAACCCCUAACUAAAGCCAGUUCUGGGUCAUGCCAGGAGAGCCUUCUCCAGCCUGGCUCUGCUUUGCUGGUUUGCUCCUAAAACAGCAAGCACAUUGUUCCUAACUCCUGGACACACUUGCCAGCAGCAGCUCAGGACCUUCCAGAAAUUGCUUGGCUUUUAUAUAGCAGGUUUUAAUUUUAACUCCCUUUCCUUUUUUUUUUUUUUUUAAUCAAAAAUUAAUUAAAACACCAUGGCAAGCCCAGAGUUCACUCACUCUGGCAAGAAAGGAAAGUGAAAGGAAGAGAAAAGAGAAAACACUUUUCAUUAUCUGCCACACCUGGGUUGGCAGAGUCCUCAACAGUUUUGCUGAGGCUGGAAUUCAAGACAAUUCCUCCUCCAACCCAAACACUCUUGCUGAGGCUCCCAGCAGGGGUGCACGUGGGCUUUCUUUACAGCUUUCCAGAGCUACAGGAUUGAUUUUCUGCUGGAGUCGCCACAUAUCAAUGCAUCUACAGUCCUCCUUCCAGGAAUUAUCAGACUCCGGGGAGAUAAUAAGAAAGGAACUGAAACUAUUUUUGAAAAGUUUUCCAAAGCUGGCGAAUGCCAUAUAAGGCCCCCACUGGCUUUCAUUUUUGCUGGGCUGGAGGGAGGUAGGGGGGAACACGAGGCGAUUGUGUGGUUGGAAGCUGGAGCCAAGGCCUCCUUACUCUGAAUUAAGACUUGGGAAGCAGAAUUUCCCCUGGGGCCCUGGUGCUGACUUGGAGUUGAGAUCUUACAGAAGACUCUGCAGAGUGGGAAAACAGUUGUCUACUAUGCUUGUGCAACAGCAUGAGAGAUCCUUUUGCUUGAAGACUCUCCAUGGGGUGAGCUAGGAAGGCUGAACUUGAAAAAGCCGAGAAGCCAUGGGCAAGGAAGGGAAACUGGGUUGACUCUGGGCCUUAGGGUAGACAGUGCCUCCCGUGCCUUGUCCUGUGUCUUAGGUUAGAGUCUCCAGAAGCAGGCGCAGAGUGACCCAUGUAAGGAAUGUUUCAGGAAAAUCGGUAGGUGGUUGGGAAGUCACUCAGAAGAGAGGGAUGCUGGGUAAGGGUGCCCAUGGCGCAAAUCCCCAGGAAGGGAAGUGGUGCCGUGAGACUUACGCUCUCUCCAGAGCCUCCCUGCAACCUUCUCCUUAGUCCUGAUGAGGCCCAGGGAGGCUGGACUAUUUAUAUCCUUCUCCCGUCCGUCCUCCAUUGGUUAAGGGCUGUCACCUCUGCAAGGAUGCAAAUUCCCAUUAUCACUUUCUUUAAGCAGCAGAGUCGUUCCAGAACCCUGAAGGAAGCCCUCUGACAAAAGAGGCCCCUGGAGCUGGGGUGCUUGAAAAUGAUACAGGACUCCCAGGGGAUGUGGGCCGAGCACAGCCUGCUGGGCUGUAUCUUGUCUGGACCCAUCAGCCCUAGGCUGGCAGGGCCUCAGAGAGUAGGUUCAGUUAUCUCUAAGAGCAGCUCUGCUGGAGCAGUUCCUGGCAGAGAGAAGGAUCUGGGUGGCCACUGGUGGUUUGUGAGUGACCCGGACUCUGCUGCCGAUCCCAGAGUCACUCCCCGGGAGUGUGCUCCUUGUCUCACCUUUACUUGUUCUGUCCCCACGUCCCUGUGGGUGGAGCUGGGGGUCAUGGUCACAGUGGUGCCUUAGCUGGAGGACAGCAGUGUGCAUCUCUCUUUUC